rnacentral:rRNA from 1 species
GCGAAAGUUACGCUAAUACCGCAUACGAUCUAAGGAUGAAAGUGGGGGAUCGCAAGACCUCAUGCUCCUGGAGCGGCCGAUAUCUGAUUAGCUAGUUGGUAGGGUAAAAGCCUACCAAGGCAUCGAUCAGUAGCUGGUCUGAGAGGACGACCAGCCACACUGGAACUGAGACACGGUCCAGACUCCUACGGGAGGCAGCAGUGGGGAAUUUUGGACAAUGGGCGCAAGCCUGAUCCAGCAAUGCCGCGUGAGUGAAGAAGGCCUUCGGGUUGUAAAGCUCUUUUGUCAGGGAAGAAACGGUGCUUUCUAAUACAGAGCGCUAAUGACGGUACCUGAAGAAUAAGCACCGGCUAACUACGUG